UACGUAGGGUGCAAGCGUUGUCCGGAAUUACUGGGCGUAAAGGGCGCGUAGGCGGCCUUCUAAGUCGAACGUGAAAUCCCCGGGCUCAACCCGGGAACUGCGUCCGAUACUGGAAGGCUUGAAUCCGGGAGAGGGAUGCGGAAUUCCAGGUGUAGCGGUGAAAUGCGCAGAUAUCAGGAGGAACACCGGUGGCGAAGGCGGGUCUCUGGGCCGAUACUGACGCUGGAGGAGCGAAAGCGUGGGGAGCGAACAGG
rnacentral:rRNA from 1 species